rnacentral:rRNA from 1 species
CGGCUCGAAACGACUCUCAGCAACGGAUAUCUCGGCUCUUGCAUCGAUGAAGAACGUAGCGAAAUGCGAUACUUGGUGUGAAUUGUAGAAUCCCGUGAACCAUCGAGUCUUUGAACGCAAGUUGCGCCCGAAGCCACUAGGCCGAGGGCACGCCUGCCUGGGUGUCACACAUCGUCAUCCCCAUGCAAACGCGCAUCGGGGCGAAAGCUGGCCUCCCGCGAGACAACCAUCGUGGUUGGUCGAAAACCAAGGUAAUGUCGGGGUCCCCCCGCGAGAAACGGUUGAUGAGCAAAUGCUCGAGACCAAUCGUGGAGACUCGGCAAUCCAAUUGAUCGGCCCUAUUGCGUUCUUGGAAGAAAGCAAAGACGCUCUUAACGAGACCUCAGGUCAGGAGGGGCUACCUGCUGAGUUUAAGCAUAUCAAUAAGCGGAGGAAAAGAAACUAACAAGGAUUCCUUUAGUAACGGCGAGCGAACCGGGAACAGCCCACCAUGAGAAUCGGUCGCCCUUGGCGUUCGAAUUGUAGUCUAGAGAAGCGUCCUCAGUGGCGGACCAGGCCCAAGUCCCCUGGAAGGGGGCGCCAGAGAGGGUGAGAGCCCCAUUGUGCCCGGACCCUGUCGCACCACGAGGCGCUGUCGGCGAGUCGGGUUGUUUGGGAAUGCAGCCCCAAUCUAGCGGUAAAUUUCGUCCAAGGCUAAAUACUGGCGAGAGACCGAUAGCGAACAAGUACCGCGAGGGAAAGAUGAAAAGGACUUUCAAAAGAGAGUCAAAGAGUGCUUGAAAUUGUCGGGAGGGGAGCGGAUGGGGGCCGGCGAUGUGUCUUGGUCGGAUGUGGAACGGUCCUAACCGGUCUGCCGAUCGACUCGAGACAUUGACCGACGCGGAUUGUGAUGGUGGCCCCAGCCCGGGCUGUUGAAAUGCUCGUGGAGACGUCAUCGUUGCGAUUGUGGAUGGCAGCACGCGCCUUAGGCGUGUCUCGGCACGUGCGUGCUCCGGGCGUUGGCUUAUGGGCUCCCCAUUCGGCCCGUCUUGAAACACGGACCAAGGAGUCUGACAUGUGUGUGAGUCAACGGGUGAGUAAACCCGUAAGGCGUAAGGAAGCUGAUUGGUGGGAUCCCCUUGUGGGUUGCACCGCCGACCGACCCUGAUCUUCUGUGAAGGGUUCGAGUGAGAGCAUACCUGUCGGGACCCGAAAGAUGGUGAACUAUGCCUGAGCGGGGCGAAGCCAGAGGAAACUCUGGUGGAGACCCGCAGCGAUACUGACGUGCAAAUCGUUCAUCUGACUUGGGUAUAGGGGCGAAAGACUAAUCGAACCGUCUAGUAGCUGGUUCCCUCCGAAGUUUCCCUUAGGAUAGUUGGAGCCCGCGGACGAGUUCUAUCGGGUAAAGCCAAUGAUUAAAGGAGUGUGUAACAACUCACCUGCUGAUAGACGGGGCCUAAGCCCAAUUAGUUUAAUGUAGUAUUUCUUUUACUUUUAUUAAAGCAUGUGUAAAAGGUGUUAGGCAUGUGCUAGAUAGGAGAGACUUUUAGUCCUAUAUAUAGCCAUGUCACCACCUCUUGUAAGAUACUUUUGAACAUAAUGAAUUGUUAUUCUGUUGAGAACACUCCAGAGCAAUUCUACUUUGAAAGUCAAGGCUAGAGAAUCUCAAAGGAUCUCCUCUAGCCACCUUCCAUUCACAUCAUCCAUUCUCUCAAUUUUCCAGCAUCAGUUUCUCUCUCCUCCGUAGCAUCCAUCUCACGCCACUCUCACCAAUUACUAGCAUCCUCGUGGCUUGCGUCCGGUCUACUGCCACGCGUCCCUUUUAUCUCACGAGAUUCCAUCAGCAUAGCUUCCAUAUCCUCAUUUCGCGUCUGCACCUACGUUUCCUCUGUCGAAAACUCUUCAACCACAAACCUCAUCCUCAUCAUCGCUGGACCUUCACCGUGGUGCUUCUCGUCAACAAUCAGGUUCCUCGCUUCAGUUUGUUGUCGAUCCAACCUUCGAACUACAUCCAUUCGAGCCUCUUCACCGAACAUCAUCAGGAGCCUAGGGUUUCUUCCGCCUCUAGGUUAUUUCUUAGAGUUCCUUCAGUUCCAUCGAUUAGAUCUUCUUCUCCACCGAUCAAAUCCUCCCUUACCUUCAUCCCUAGAGUUUUCUCCGAUUAAACCUCAACCUAGGGUUCUUCUGCUUCUUUCCGCUGCGCAUUGAUGUCAAGGAUGCCUCGAGGAGUCCAAAUCUCUCAAGUUUCGUCUUCUCCUCGGAGCGUCAUCUAUCAAGUGGUAUUCAGAGCCUAGGUUAGGCGCGUCCGCUUGAGCUAACUAUCUCGUUUCUCUCUGAUCUGAGUUUUACUCUUCGUGGAUUGUCAAAUUGUCGGUCUCAAUCUGUUUUCUAUUCUUGAGAUUCAAUCUGUGCGUUUGGUUGUUUUCAAAUUUUCCCGUGUUGUUCAUUAUCAUUCGUUCAAUGUCUUGAGUAUUUUACUUUGUCUUGUUCAUUUUUUGGUUUCUGGACAUCAAUUGCUGCUUACAGUAGGUUCUGGUUGAGUCAAUUUGUGUGUUUUCUUUUCUUUGAGUCUUUUCCUCAUUUUAAUCGGUCCAUUUGUUCAUUUGAGUCAUUUUCAUUGAUGAAUCAUAUUCUGUCAUGUUUACAAUUAUGUUUAAUUGCUUAAAAUGUCAUAAAUUCUGUGUUCAAAGCUGUAUUUGAUUUUUUCGGAGAUUCUGGAUUAUAUGAUCAGUGGCUGUACACCAUAUGGCUCGGGUGCGUGCAAAAGUGACCUUACUCUCAGAUUUAAGUGUUGUUGAUGUGUAUUCUGAUUGGCGUUUAUUGUCAUGGCCAAUGCAUAUUAUUUCAAUGAUAAAAGGCUUGAAUGAGUUCGUAUCAGGUGCACACCAAUUAAGCCAUGAAUUGCUGAAGCAAAUAGCUUGGUGGCAUCUUGUGAAAACUCCAAUAGUAUCAAAGUUGCAGUUGACCGAUCUGCAUUGUCUUGUUUGAGUCUAGUUUUUUUGUUUUAAAAUCUGUUUGACAUCUAGAUCUUGCUGGAAAUCUUGCAUUAACUUCCUCGUGUCUUGCUCAAGUUUCCAAUUGCUGUUUUAAAGUCAUUUUCAUCAAUAAUUUGUCAAUUGACUCAAUAAAACUUAAGAUUGGUGGUGUGGUUGAGCUGUUUGAUUGCAUAAUUGGCUAUUGCAAGUUCAAUUUUCGAAUUACUGUUUUUCUGCAUCCAACUUCAGAGCAAAACAAGUUGUUUUGAUAUUUCAAACAUGAUGCAAUAGCUUAAUUCGAGUUAUAUCAGCCUUUGUGCAAUUUCACCUUUGAAAACCCCAAUUUUUUAAGUUCAAUUUUUUUGUACAAGUUGGAACUGCAAUGCUGAAUUUUUCUUGUGAAUUAGAUCAUUUCAAGAGGACUGGAUUGUAGCAAUAGCAAGGAUCUGUGAUAAAAAAAAAUAAAAAUACAAAAAGAUGAAUAUGAUAUAUUCAAUGUAAAAAGCUUUUCAGACCUGUACAAUCCAGUUAAAACCAGUUUCAAAACAGAACUUCAGAUUUAAACAUAUACACUGGUUUCUUUGUGGCAUUCCAUUUAACAGUUUUGAAAAUUCAGUUCUGGAUGCUGCAUGUGAUUUCAGUUUCGACUUGCUGUGGUCUUUGAUUUCUUGCUUUAAAAAUCUGUUCUAGUGCCACUCAUAGGUUCAGUUUGAGUGCUCACUUUGCUCAAAAGCUUUGUUUCUUGCUUGUCAUUUGUUGGUUAUCUAGUUUUGUCUCUCACAUGUUAAUCAAGUUCUGCUGAAUCAUAAUUGGAUCUUUUCUUUGCUUUAUUAAUCUGAUCUCAAGUCAGUUGCUUUGCUGUUUUUGUCAUUCCAUUACCUUGUGAUUUGUUUUGUCCUUCACUUUACCUUGUUUAGCCUAGCCAUAUUCCUGAUUGAGAAAUCUGAUUCCAUCCUGGUUUUUGGGAAUUGAAAGAAGGUAAGUGUGAAUGGUAGCAUAUUAGGUGGUGGUGAUCCACAGGAUUCUCUGGCUUAGACUGAAAAUUUCAUUUGAGUGCCUUAAAAUGUUUUAAAGAGAACUCUAGGUGCUGUGAGAUUAGCGGCUAUUGGCAUUUACAAGAGUUCAGUUUCAACUAACCAUUUGUUGAUUGUUCAUUGUGCAGGAAACGAAAAUGAGAUGAUCAGAGUGGAGAGUUGUGACUGUUUAAGAAGUUAUUGAAAUCAAUUUAGUUCAUAAACUGUUUGAUGAAGUUAGUGAGAUAUUAAAUGCUUGAAAGUGAUUGCUGAUUUGCUAGUGAUGCUAAUUGUGCUUGUUAAUGUUUAAAUUGUCAUUGCACUCACUUUAUUGUCAAACAUUGCCUGCUGAAUUAAUUGAUCUACUCACUGUUUGACAGUGAAAUGUUGAUUUCAUGGUUUAAUUGGGCAUGUUGAAUGCUGAUGUUGAUUUGGUUUUCUCUGUGCAACAAAUUGUAAUGGACAGCCAAUAGGAACCUUUCUCUGCAUCAAGUGUACAAACCCAAGAAAGGGAAGGCUCAUUUAAGUGUAACUUCCCUCUUCCAAUAUGUUCGUUAACAGCUCUCUGAUCCAGCUUUGUACAUUUGUGAUUGUAGAGUUGAACCCAAGAGCUAGGAGACUCCAACGUUGUCCAGAAGCAACCAAAAAGUGGAGCACUAGAUCCUUCAUGCGGAUUUGAAUCAGGACCAGGAUUGAAGCAUAGCUGUUAUUUGUUUUUUUUAAUUGUUUCUUCAUUUUGAUGUGUAAUAGGCUCUAUUGUUAGUUUUCUUAAUUUCAUUGUAAAAGGCCAUUCAAAGUCCAAGUGUCUUGGAAGAGUCCUUGGUGCUCUUUCAACUCUUGGCAAAACUUUUCUUGUUUGUGUUUAAAUUUUAGUGUCUUACGUUUAGGGUGAUUUAGGCUAAAAGGGAUUAAACUCUAAGCCUUGUCACAUUAGAGUCCGAAAAGUCUCGUCUUUUAGUGUUUAAUUGUUGUGAUUGUUUGUGAGUUGUGUUCUUUGAUUUUAAAAGUGAUUUUAGUUUAAAGUAUAACUAGU